AAGGCGACGAUGCGUAGCCGACCUGAGAGGGUGAACGGCCACACUGGGACUGAGACACGGCCCAGACUCCUACGGGAGGCAGCAGUAGGGAAUCUUCCGCAAUGGACGCAAGUCUGACGGAGCAACGCCGCGUGAGUGAUGAAGGUUUUCGGAUCGUAAAGCUCUGUUGCCCUAGACGAACAGCAAGGCGAGUAACUGCGCUUUGUGUGACGGUAUAGGAGAAGAAAGCCCCGGCUAACUACGUGCCAGCAGCCGCGGUAAUACGUAGGGGGCAAGCGUUGUCCGGAAUUAUUGGGCGUAAAGCGCGCGCAGGCGGUUAAUUAAGUUGGGUGUUUAAGCCCGGGGCUCAACCCCGGUUCGCAUCCAAAACUGGUUGACUUGAGUGUAGGAGAGGAAAGUGGAAUUCCACGUGUAGCGGUGAAAUGCGUAGAGAUGUGGAGGAACACCAGUGGCGAAGGCGACUUUCUGGCCUAUAACUGACGCU
rnacentral:rRNA from 1 species